UUGGGCGUGGUGUACGGCACACCCUGGCUUUCUAGUCACGUCUUCCGAAAUACUUGUAGCCAGCGUCCGGGGUUCGACUCCCUGCGCCCGAA